ACUCCUACGGGAGGCAGCAGUGGGGAAUAUUGCACAAUGGGGAAACCCUGAUGCAGCCAUGCCGCGUGUGUGAAGAAGGCCUUCGGUUGUAAAGCACUUUCAGUAGGGAGGAAGGUAGUGUAGUUAACAACCUGCACUAUUUGACGUUACCUACAGAAGAAGCACCGGCUAACUCCGUGCCAGCAGCCGCGGUAAUACGGAGGGGUGCGAGCGUUAAUCGGAAUUACUGGGCGUAAAGCGCAUGCAGGCGGCCUGUUAAGUCAGAUGUGAAAGCCCGGGGGCUUAACCUCGGAAUUGCAUUUGAAACUGGCAGGCUAGAGUCUUGUAGAGGGGGUAGGAAUUUCAGGUGUAGCGGUGAAAUGCGUAGAGAUCUGAAGGAAUACCAGUGGCGAAGGCGGCCCCCUGGACAAAGACUGACGCUCAGAUGCGAAAGCGU
rnacentral:rRNA from 1 species